UGUAUACGAGCCGUAUACUAAAAGAUACUAAAAAAGAAAACCUAUAUCAAAAAAGGAGACCCAAUCUUCUAUACAAACCGGGUUCUCAUAGGAACACCAAAAACAAACUAGAACAAAAGACUAUUUUCCAGCUUUACAAUAUCUUGUGCAACCCCUUCAAAUGCUCUUCUCUUUCUCUCUCUCCAAACAACGCUCAACAACUUUACAAAAAAAAAAAG
rnacentral:lncRNA from 1 species